rnacentral:tRNA from 1 species
GGGCGGUUAGCUCAGCGGUAGAGCAUCACGUUGACAUCGUGGAGGUCGCUGGUUCGAUCCCAGCACCGCCCACCA